CCAGUGUUAUGAAAACUGAUUUGACUGCUGCUUCCUUGUUGGGUUCUUGCACAGCUUUGAGCAACAUUUUGUUGUGAUCUUUGGAGAUCACGUUCAAAAGGCCAAUGCAGUUCGUACGGCAAAAUAUCACAUUUAACACAGGGAAACACCCAAUUGGCUGUAAUAACCCAACUGCUACCUUUUUUAUCCCUAAGCUGUGAAUGCGUUUAAGAUUUACAGACAUUUGCUUCACAAGGGAUUCCAUGAAGCCUGGGAGGUGAUAACGACAAGCGCAGAGAGACACUUGACAAGGAAGAUAAAUUAAAAAAGGGAAAAUUGAAUGAGAAAAGAGAUGUCAAUUGGUUGUGCUUGUGCGUGAGCUGAUGAAAGUUGUGUUCAUUAACAGAUAUAUGAUUUUACUAGAGAUUGGAUGGCUGAUAGUAGCACACAAAUGGUGGAAGUGGCACCUGAGAUGACAUAUAGAAUCCAUAAACUUCUCAGCUUCAAACUGUCUGUAUCAUCGGAGGUCACGUUGGAGCAUGAUGCCGGUGAGGUUAAAUAUGUUUUUACAUCGGUGCCUAUGUCACCACCGAUGUAGAAGUUCUCAUAUUCAACAUCGUUGCUUUCUGUAAAACGGUGUAGAAAGCGUAACAUACUACAUCAGUGCAUACGUCACCACUGAUGUAGAAGUUCCCAUAUUCAACAUCAUUGCUUUCUGUAAAAUGAUGUAAAAAGCGCAACUUACUACAUCAGUGCCUACGUCAUCACUGAUGUAGAAGUUCCCAUAUUCAACAUCAUUGCUUUCUAUAAAACGAUGUAAAAAGCGCAACUUACUACAUCGUUGCUUAAUUUAAAAACGAUGUAGAAAAUAAAAGAUCAACAUCGUUGCUUAAUUUAAAAACGAUGUAGAAAAUCCGCCCUCAAAAAGCAGAACCAAUGUUUCUACAUCAGUCAUUAGUAUAGCACCGAUUUAGAAAAAAAACAGCUUACUACAACGUUCGCUUAUGGACUGAUGUUGAAAUUUUUAAGUUUCAACAUCAUUAUAAUCAAAAACGGUCAUGCACCGUUGUAGAACAUUGAUUGUGACCGAUGUAGAUCAUGCAUCUUCUAGUAGUGUUGGUGUCAAAUGUAACCACAUCCAAAGAAGCAUGGGAGAUUUUGAAAACCUCCCUUGAAGGUGUUGAUAAGGUAAAAAAGGUGCGCCUACAAACUCUACGUAGAGAGUUUGAAUCAUUACAUAUGAAGGAAUCCGAAUCUAUCUCAGAUUUUGGCAACAAGGUGUUGGCUAUUGUGAGCCAAAUGAAGUGUUAUGGAGAAAAUAUGGAAGAUGUUCGUGUGGUGGAAAAGAUCAUUCGCUCCUUAAUCGCUAAAUUUGAUUAUGUGGUUUGUGCUAUUGAAGAGUCUAAGGAUUUAGACUCAAUGACUGUAGACCAAUUGAUGGGUUCUCUUCAAGCCUAUGAAGAAAGGUUCAAUAGAAGACAUGAUGAGCCAUUGGAGCAAGUCCUCAAAGCCAAAGCUUCUUUGAAAGAAAAUGGAGGAGAAAGUAGUCAAAGAGCACGUG